rnacentral:rRNA from 1 species
GAUGAACGCUGGCGGCGUGCCUAAUACAUGCAAGUCGAGCGAACGGACGAGAAGCUUGCUUCUCUGAUGUUAGCGGCGGACGGGUGAGUAACACGUGGAUAACCUACCUAUAAGACUGGGAUAACUUCGGGAAACCGGAGCUAAUACCGGAUGAUAUUUUGAACCGCAUGGUUCAAAAGUGAAAGACGGUCUUGCUGUCACUUAUAGAUGGAUCCGCGCUGCAUUAGCUAGUUGGUAAGGUAACGGCUUACCAAGGCAACGAUGCAUAGCCGACCUGAGAGGGUGAUCGGCCACACUGGAACUGUGACACGGUCCAGACUCCUACGGGAGGCAGCAGUAGGGAAUCUUCCGCAAUGGGCGAAAGCCUGACGGAGCAACGCCGCGUGAGUGAUGAAGGUCUUCGGAUCGUAAAACUCUGUUAUUAGGGAAGAACAUAUGUGUAAGUAACUGUGCACAUCUUGACGGUACCUAAUCAGAAAGCCACGGCUAACUACGUG